CAAAAGGAAGAUGCCACUUGUCAGAACCACACCAGUAACAACCUCCUAGGUUGCCCUUGAAGCUCUCCAUGUUUCGUGCUCCAUCCCUUGUAUAUAAACAAAUACCCAACAGAAAUGGCUUCUUAAUCUUGAUUAAUUAAGAACCUAAAUCAUCUUUCUACGCAGUUUUACUUUGAACCGCUGUUCUGUCGGAGAGAAGAUGUCAGAAACAGCAAACAAGAAAGCGGAAAGAAAGCCACAACGUCAAGCAUCAGCCAAGGGGGACCCGGUGGCCCUCAAAGAGGUUGGUGAGAUCAGUCAUGACGAGUUCUGCGAGACGCUGCACCAGCAGACUCUCCCAGACGAGAAGUUGGAAGAUGAAAUCUCCACUCUCUCUAUUAAUGCAGCGAAUAGUGUCCUCAAGACCCAACAGAAAUGACAGCGUGUAGCCGGGACCAUUUCGAUUUGUAUAGAAGAUAUUGUCUUUGUUCGCUAUCUAAGAAGAUCGUGAUCCCCGGUAUCAACACCGGAAGAUCAUUGUAAUAAACCUUCUGUUGCUCAUCGAUAUGAACUGACAGUUUCGAUUGGUUUAAGAGUAAUAACAUGUCUAACCAGAUCAAAUUGACAGCACUGUA